GUUGAUCCUGCGGGAGAUUGCUGCUAUUUGGGUUCGAUUAAGACAUGCAAGUCAGGGGGCUCUUCGGAGCACCGGCAGAAUGCUCAGUAACACGUCAAUAACCUUACUUUAGGUCUAGGACAGCCUUGGGAAACUGAGGGUAAACCUGGAUAGGUGAUUCAAACUGGAAGGUAGUAUCGCUGAAAAGCAAUGCCUAAAGGUGGGUUGGCGGCGGAUUAGGCUGUUGGUGGGGUAAAGGCCCACCAAACCAAAGAUCCGUAGGGGCCAUGAGAGUGGUAGCCCCGAGAAGGACACUGAGACACUGGUCCUAGCCCUACGGGGUGCAGCGGUCGCGAAACCUUUACAAUGCACGAAGGUGUGAUAAGGGAACCCAAAGUGCUUAUGCUUUGCAUAGGCUUUUGCUAAGAGUAAAUAUCUUGGAGAAUAAGUGGUGGGCAAGACCGGUGCCAGCAGCCGCGGUAAUCCCGGCGCCACGAGUGGCAAUCGCUUUUAUUGGGCCUAAAGCGUCCGUAGCCGGUUUGAUAAAUCUUUUGUGAAAUUGUUGGGCUUAACCUAACAGCGUGCAAGAGACACUAUCAGACUUGGAACCAGGAGGAGUCAGAAGUAUUCAGGGGGAGCGGUAAAAUGUUGUAAUCCCUGAAGGACUACCUGUGGCGAAGGCGUCUGACUAGAAUGGAUUCGACGGUGAGGGACGAAAGCUAGGGGAGCGAUCCGGAUUAGAUACCCGAGUAGUCCUAGCUGUAAACGCUGCGAACUAGGUGUUGCAUAUUCUCCGUGAAUAUGCAGUAUCGGAGCGAAGGUGUUAAGUUCGCCGCCUGGGAAGUAUGGUCGCAAGGCUGAAACUUAAAGGAAUUGGCGGGGGAGCACUACAACGGGUGCGGCGUGCGGUUUAAUCUAACUCUACGCAGAGAAUCUCACUAGAGGCGACGGCACAAUGAAGGUCAGUCUGAAGGGCUUACCUGAGGGGCCAAGAGGUGGUGCAUGGCCGCCGUCAGCUCGUGCCGUAAGGUGUCCUCCUAAGCGAGGCAACGAGCGAGACCUGUGCCUACAAUUGCUAGCGAGCCAAUUUGGUGAUCGAGCACUUUGUAGGGACUGCUGUGGAAACACAGAUGAAGGUGCAGGCUACGGUAGGUCUGUAUGCCCCGAAUCUUCUAGGCAACACGCGCGCAACAACGGUAGGGACAAUGGGAUGCGACUCUGAAAAGAGGAGCUAAACCUCUAAACCCUAUCCAAGUCCAGAUUGAGGACUGUAACUCGUCCUCAUGACGAUGGAACCCGUAGUAAUCGUGCUUCAACACGGCACGGUGAAUAUGUCCCUGCUCCUUGCACACACCGCCCGUCAAGUCAACCGAGCAGGGUCUAGGUGAGGAUUAGCUUCUUGGUUAAUUCGAAUCUAGGCUCAG
rnacentral:rRNA from 1 species